rnacentral:rRNA from 1 species
UUUCGCGCGAUCGCCUUGAGUUUGAUAUGGCUCAGGACGAACGCUGGCGGCGUGCCUAACACAUGCAAGUCGAACGGGAUCCGCAAGGAUUCAGUGGCGAACGGGUGCGUAACACGUGAAGAAUUUGUCCAACGGCGGGGGAUAGCCGGCCCAACGGCCGGGUAAUACCGCGUACGACCUUCGGGGGGCAUCCCCUGAUGGUGAAAGCCGCAAGGCGCCGAUGGAGAACUUCGCGGCCUAUCAGCUAGUUGGUGAGGUCAUGGCUCACCAAGGCGACGACGGGUAGCUGGUCCGAGAGGAUGACCAGCCACAUUGGGACUGAGACACGGCCCAGACUCCUACGGGAGGCAGCAGUGGGGAAUAUUGCGCAAUGGGCGAAAGCCUGACGCAGCGACGCCGCGUGUGGGAUGACGGCCUUCGGGUUGUAAACCACUGUCGCGAGGGACGAAGAUCUGACGGUACCUCGAAAGGAAGCACCGGCUAACUCUGUGCCAGCAGCCGCGGUAAUACAGAGGGUGCGAGCGUUGUCCGGAAUCACUGGGCGUAAAGGGCGCGUAGGUGGCCUGGUAAGUAGGGGGUGAAAUCUCGAGGCUCAACCUCGAGGCUGCCUCCUAAACUGUCAGGCUUGAGCAGAGUAGAGGCAGGUGGAAUUCCCGGUGUAGCGGUGGAAUGCGUAGAGAUCGGGAAGAACAUCGGUGGCGAAGGCGGCCUGCUGGGCUCUUGCUGACACUGAUGCGCGACAGCGUGGGGAGCAACAGGAUUAGAUACCCUGGUAGUCCACGCCGUAAACA